ACAUCGGUUUAGCUCAAUGGUUUUUCCUAUCGGGGAUGUGUCAUAUCUGACGGUCAGCGGUUUGAAACACUUUGACUACAGGGACUGUCCGAUGUUUUU
rnacentral:sRNA from 1 species